GCAUGGAAUCCUAUAAAUGCUCUGCAUGUUUUCUAGUCUUGUUGCUUUUAAAAUGAGAAAAUAUGAACUCUUAUAAGUUAACAGCUGAUUUUGUGCAGCUCAAAUUUUAUCUUCAUUCUAGCAGUUGGAAAAGGAAGACAUAUGUCAUUUAGCUGUGUCUAUAGAACAAAGAAGUGAAAAUGUGACAAAUGGUGAAGUGGAAGAUCUACGCAAAGAGGUAAUAUUAACAGAAGAAGAACAAAGAAGAUAUGAUAUCCAUGGGGGUGUUCAGUCACUGAUUGUCUCUGAGCUUCUUCCACAGAAGAAUGUGAUUCAUUUACCUGUGACUACAGAUCAAAGAAUAGAAAAUAAGUCAGCCACAGAAAUGAA